AUGACUUGUUUGGUUUAGGGUUGACUAAAACCUUUCAUACUUCAAACCUACCAUUAGAUGAUCAAGUUUUCCUCCAUGGUACUUUGAAGCAUGGAUAGGUUGCCCCUACUUCAAAUAACUUGGGUCAUUUGACUUGUGGAUGAAGUCUUACUUGUGCACUUGUUAAAUUUUGAUUUCAUCUGAUACCUUGUGUUUCCUCUUGGUUUAUACUAACCCACUAACACUUUAUACUCCUUUGUUUAUACCAUACAUUAACC
rnacentral:lncRNA from 1 species